UUGCAAGCCCAAAAGAGAUAUACAUCCAAAUUAGGGAGUGUGUUCUCUGUAUAAAGAAAGACUUUCCAUUGAUUCUGUCUUUUUUCCCCCCCUCCUCCUUGCCAGGUGGCUGGAGGAGUCUUCCAGUGAGCUUCCUAAGGGUUCCUCCCUUAAGAUAAAAGCUGCUGUUGCUCAGACCUCCGUCCCGUUGUCUUAGGCAGAGGGAGAGGGCCAGGGAGCGAGGACAAGGGCAGGACUUCCCAGCUCCUUCAAGCCAACUUGAAGCAAAAGAGGCUAAGCUGUCCCUGCUCUCCGUAGCAGAGCACAAGGACUCUUUGAGGCGCCUAUGAAGAACACCGGGAAACCAGAGUCGGGGGGCUCCUCUCUGUCCGGCAAUGAACGGGGGGCCUCGGAGGAGGUUGUGGAAGAGAUGUGCCUGGACCUCCCCACCCGCGAAGCCAGCAGCAUCCCUCCGGUGCGUCCACCGAAGAAGACAUCCUACAGCCUGGAGCUCUUCCGCACCAGGAGGAAUAUCCGCUGGUUCCAGAUCCCCUUGUCCUCUUUAAGGAAGCCCAAAGCCGGUCUGUUCAGCUUCACCUUUCAGUCCAGCCUGCAAGAGUACCAGCAGCUUCGGAAGGCCAAGAGGCUGAAGGUCGGCCAGCCGUUUUCCAUCCUACCUCUCCCCAGAUUGCCCGCAUUGCUCACGGACAGCUCUCAGAGAGCAUCCCACAAGCGGCGUGACAAUCGCAGACCCUCGGGAGCUGGAGAAGCAAAAGGCAGCAAAAGGCUUUCAUCUCAUAGAGAAGAACCUCAGACGUUUUCUCAACGAAUGCACAAGAGGCAUCGGACAUGCAGUUCAUCCGCUCGCUCUUCACAGAGGCGUGUCUCCCAUCCCAAAACCCUUGGUCAGCUGCAGGGCGAGGAACCUGGUAGCAGCUGCAGCAAGAAGCAGGAGCAGGUAGACCCUGGACGCUUUGAGCAGGACCUGCAUUUUGAUGCUCCUGGCCCCUCUCGUUCCUCGUCCUGCAGCAGCUGGCCCCUAGCAGAGGCCGCCGGAGGCGACAGUGGCUUCGGGAGGUGGGUCGGUGCCUCCUCUCCGCUGGAAGAAGAGGACUACGAAUUUCCUCCAGACUGGAGCCCACCACGGAUAGAAUUCCUGUAUGAUAGGGGUCCACCUCCUCUGAGCCCUGCCCCAGGGCCUGACCCCGAGUCUCCAAGCUCCAGAGAGAUGGCAGAGGUCUCCACCUGGCCAGCUGAACCUCCAGUGCUGGAGCUCACCGCCGAAGCUUUCUCACCAGCAGGAGGAGGGCACGUGCAUUCCUGGGGAGGACCCUUCAUCCAGCCACGCAAGGAGUGUGAAAGUAGAGGGCGGGCAAGUCUGGAACAUCCUGUGUCAGUCUUUUGUCAAGCGGUAAAUGAGGAGCGAGAAGGAGCCACCCUGGGGAAUGAAAUCCAAAUGGAGGACGGGAAGGCCUUUGGUGUUGGAGAACAUCCACCGUUACUGUCUCCCAUUCAUCCACGGGCAGCGUCAUCCCCUGUCUGCCUUAGAAGCGGCCUCUCAACGGUCUCUGUUGAGUUUUCUAGAGAUCUGGAGAGCCCAAACUCUGAGUCAGAGGAGGAAGGAGACCAGGGGCCAGAGUCUCCCGCUUCAUCGAUCCCCACCCAUCUCCUGAUAGCAUCGUCCAGGACGUCCUCCAGAUGCAGCCUCUCGGCAUCCUCCAACGAGCUCUCUGAGGGCCCCGAGGGGCUGACCCAGGAUGCGGCCAUGGAAGAGGGUCCUGAUGACAGCGGCCUCCUGCCCCUCAAACAGCUCCUGCAGAUGAGCAGCAUGGAUCUCGGGGCUGUGGAACCCCACACCAGGUUCCUCCCUUCACGUUCCGAUGGUUAUCUCCGCAGCCUCGAUCAGCUCCUGGAGGAGAGAAGGAAGCAAACCUGGGAGGACGAACAGCUGGAGAGAAACCUGGGGGAGAAGCUGUCGCUCCUCAGCCCACUCAGUUCAGGGGAAGUGCCUGGACAAGGGGAAGCGCCCCUUCCUGAAGCUCACAGAUUGAUCCUUGAACAGUUUUCCAUCCCUCGUGACACAAUCCCAGCGGUGCACCCUGGUGAAAACAUUUUUGGGCCGCCCGGCUACGACCCGAGGACUCCCGUGGCCCUGGACGCUUCUGGAUUGAAGCCACGGAAUCAGCUGGAGCACCUUUUCUUCAGGUGAGUUUCCUGUGUUGGCUGUUGGGUAUAGUGUAACCUGAGCUGGCUGAAUAGGUUUGGAAGCCACGGAAUCAGCUGGAGCACCUUUUCUUCAGGUGAGUUUCGUGUGUUAGCUGUUGGGUAUAGCGUAACCUGAGCUGGCUGGAUAGGUUUGGGUCUCCGGCUGCAGAGCCGGAGUUCGAUUCCCUCACUGGGAAGGG
rnacentral:lncRNA from 1 species